AUCUGGGAGAUCUACUGCUACAGCUAAAAAGCUUGCAUGGGUUUCUCUUAAGUGUAAUAGACAAAUGGGGUCAUAUGAAUGUGGUUACUACGUUAUGUUUUGGAUGAUGAUCAUCAUUCGUGCACAUUACACCACUGGAUGGGAAACGAGAUUUAAUAGGACUGCUUCAAUUCCAGAGAAGUCAAUCCAACUUGUGAGGAAAACACUUGCAAGAUAUGUAAUUCAUUUAUAUAAUAGUAUGUAGUAGAUAUUAGGAUAUACUAAGUUUUAAGUUUAUGUUUCUAAGUUGUUUUAUGCUUUUCUACGUUACUAUAAAUUCAACAUGUACAUUGCAUUGAUUUAUG